GAUGAACGCUGGCGGCGUGCUUAACACAUGCAAGUCGAACGGACUUAUGAUGAAGCCUAGCGAUUUAUAAGUUAGUGGCGGACGGGUGAGUAACGCGUGAGCAACCUGCCUUACAAAGCGGGAUAACAUCGGGAAACUGGUGCUAAUACCGCAUAACGUAUACUGUUCGCAUGUAUGGUAUACCAAAGUAGCAAUACGAUGUAAGAUGGGCUCGCGUCUGAUUAGGUAGUUGGUGAGGUAACGGCUCACCAAGCCGACGAUCAGUAGCCGGACUGAGAGGUUGAACGGCCACAUUGGAACUGAGAAACGGUCCAGACUCCUACGGGAGGCAGCAGUGGGGAAUAUUGGGCAAUGGGCGAAAGCCUGACCCAGCAACGCCGCGUGAAGGAAGAAGGUCUUCGGAUUGUAAACUUCUUUUAUAAGGGAAGAAAAAUGACUGUACCUUAUGAAUAAGCCACGGCUAACUACGUG
rnacentral:rRNA from 1 species